rnacentral:rRNA from 1 species
GCACAAGCGGUGGAGCAUGUGGUUUAAUUCGAUGGUAACCGAAGAACCUUACCAGGGAUUGACAUGUAACUGAAGGUAGAGAAAUCUACUGGCCUGCUGCAAAGCGGGAGGUUACACAGGUGGUGCACGGCCGUCGUCAGCUCGUGCCGUGAGGUGUUGGGUUAAGUCCCGCAACGAGCGCAACCCCUACGAUUAGUUACUAACGCGGAAAGGCGAGGACUCUAAUCGGACUGCCGCCGACGAGGCGGAGGAAGGAGGGGAUGACGUCAGGUAAGCGUGCCCCUUAUACUCUGGGCGACACACGUGCUACAAUGGAGGGGACAAAGGGAAGCGAAGCCGAGAGGUGGAGCGGAUCCCAAAAAAACUCUCCGAAAUACGGAUUGUAGGCUGCAACCCGCCUACAUGAAGUCGGAAUCGCUAGUAAUCGCAGGUCAGCCAAACUGCGGUGAAUACGUUCCCGGGC